rnacentral:rRNA from 1 species
AGAGUUUGAUCCUGGCUCAGGAUGAACGCUGGCUGCGUGCUUAACACAUGCAAGUCGAACGAUGACGACCGGGCUUGCCUGGUCUGAUUAGUGGCGAACGGGUGAGUAACACGUGAGUAACCUGCCCCUCACUUCGGGAUAACCUCGGGAAAUCGUGGCUAAUACCGGAUAUGAACUUCUACCGCAUGGUGGUUGUUGGAAAGUUUUUCGGUGAGGGAUGGACUCGCGGCCUAUCAGUUUGUUGGUGAGGUAAUGGCUCACCAAGACGAUGACGGGUAGCCGGCCUGAGAGGGCGACCGGCCACACUGGGACUGAGACACGGCCCAGACUCCUACGGGAGGCAGCAGUGGGGAAUAUUGCACAAUGGGCGAAAGCCUGAUGCAGCGACGCAGCGUGAGGGAUGACUGCCUUCGGGUUGUAAACCUCUUUCAGUAGGGAAGAAGCGAAAGUGGCGGUACCUGCAGAAGAAGCGCCGGCUAACUACGUGCCAGCAGCCGCGGUAAUACGUAGGGCGCAAGCGUUAUCCGGAAUUAUUGGGCGUAAAGAGCUUGUAGGUGGCUUGUCGCGUCUGCCGUGAAAACCCGAGGCUCAACCUCGGGCGUGCGGUGGGUACGGGCAGGCUAGAGUGUGGUAGGGGAGACUGGAACUCCUGGUGUAGCGGUGAAAUGCGCAGAUAUCAGGAAGAACACCGAUGGCGAAGGCAGGUCUCUGGGCCAUUACUGACACUGAGAAGCGAAAGCAUGGGUAGCGAACAGGAUUAGAUACCCUGGUAGUCCAUGCCGUAAACGUUGGGCACUAGAUGUGGGGGACAUUCCACGUUUUCCGCGUC